CCCUUAGAUGUCCUGGGCCGCACGCGCGCUACACUGACUACUUCAACGAGUUGUUUCCUUGAUCGAAAGGUCUGGGUAAUCUUUGAAAGGUAGUCGUGAUGGGGAUAGAUCCUUGCAAUUUUUGAUCUUCAACGAGGAAUUCCUAGUAAACGCAAGUCAUCAGCUUGCAUUGAUUACGUCCCUGCCCUUUGUACACACCGCCCGUCGCACCUACCGAUUGAAUGGUCCGGUGAAUCUUUAGGACUGUGGCUGAGGCCUUGCCUUGUGCGGGUCUGGCCGUGGGAAUUUAGUUAAACCUUACCAUUUAGAGGAAGGUGAAGUCGUAACA
rnacentral:rRNA from 1 species